GACGAACGCUGGCGGCGUGCUUAACACAUGCAAGUCGAACGAAGAGCGAUGGAAGCUUGCUUCUAUCAAUCUUAGUGGCGAACGGGUGAGUAACGCGUAAUCAACCUGCCCUUCAGAGGGGGACAACAGUUGGAAACGACUGCUAAUACCGCAUACGAUCUAAUCUCGGCAUCGAGGAUAGAUGAAAGGUGGCCUCUACAUGUAAGCUAUCACUGAAGGAGGGGAUUGCGUCUGAUUAGCUAGUUGGAGGGGUAACGGCCCACCAAGGCGAUGAUCAGUAGCCGGUCUGAGAGGAUGAACGGCCACAUUGGGACUGAGACACGGCCCAGACUCCUACGGGAGGCAGCAGUGGGGAAUCUUCCGCAAUGGACGAAAGUCUGACGGAGUAACGCCGCGUGAGCGAUGACGGCCUUCGGGUUGUAAAGCUCUGUUAAUCGGGACGAAAGGCCUUCUUGCGAAUAGUGAGAAGGAUUGACGGUACCGGAAUAGAAAGCCACGGCUAACUACGUG
rnacentral:rRNA from 1 species